ACCAGCCUCCUGUGAUCCAGCAGGCAGAUCGGGGUCGCACCCCCAGGAGCAGUCCAGCACAGCCCCUGCAGCCCUCCGGGGGUGUGGGUGAGCCCCCGAUCUGCCUGCCGGAUGACAGGAGGCUGGU
rnacentral:pre_miRNA from 1 species